GCUUGCUUCUCUGGAUGAGUUACGAACGGGUGAGUAACGCGUAGGUAACCUGCCUGGUAGCGGGGGAUAACUAUUGGAAACGAUAGCUAAUACCGCAUAAGAGUAGAUGUUGCAUGACAUUUGCUUAAAAGGUGCACUUGCAUCACUACCAGAUGGACCUGCGUUGUAUUAGCUAGUUGGUGGGGUAACGGCUCACCAAGGCGACGAUACAUAGCCGACCUGAGAGGGUGAUCGGCCACACUGGGACUGAGACACGGCCCAGACUCCUACGGGAGGCAGCAGUAGGGAAUCUUCGGCAAUGGACGGAAGUCUGACCGAGCAACGCCGCGUGAGUGAAGAAGGUUUUCGGAUCGUAAAGCUCUGUUGUAAGAGAAGAACGAGUGUGAGAGUGGAAAGUUCACACUGUGACGGUAUCUUACCAGAAAGGGACGGCUAACUACGUGCCAGCAGCCGCGGUAAUACGUAGGUCCCGAGCGUUGUCCGGAUUUAUUGGGCGUAAAGCGAGCGCAGGCGGUUAGAUAAGUCUGAAGUUAAAGGCUGUGGCUUAACCAUAGUAGGCUUUGGAAACUGUUUAACUUGAGUGCAAGAGGGGAGAGUGGAAUUCCAUGUGUAGCGGUGAAAU
rnacentral:rRNA from 1 species